rnacentral:rRNA from 1 species
UACGAAGGUCCCAAGCGUUAUCCGGAUUCACUGGGUUUAAAGGGUGCGUAGGCGGACAGGUAAGUCAGUGGUGAAAUCUCUGGGCUUAACUCAGAAACUGCCGUUGAUACUAUUUGUCUUGAAUAUCCUGGAGGUAAGCGGAAUAUGUCAUGUAGCGGUGAAAUGCUUAGAUAUGACAUAGAACACCGAUAGCGAAGGCAGCUUACUACAGGUUCAUUGACGCUGAGGCACGAAAGCGUGGGGAGCAAACAGG